UCCGAACGUCCACCACUCGACCAAGAACCUGUGUGUUGUUUUAUUGUAGUGCAGUGUAGAGUUUUCGCGUGUAUAUCUGGCGUUGUUAUGUCCAUUUUUGUAAGUAGUUGUAAAUAGGUUGUCAAGUCGCGAUCACGCUUUGUUCACCUGAUGUAUAUCCUUCACUGCCGCAGCCUAGUAGGCGUGAGAAGCCAUUUUUGUUGAACAAGUUUUCUCCUGUUUUUUCAUUAGAAAGCUAGAGGGUGAGAGACGCGACAGUCAAGUGGAGCGUGCAUCUGUCCUCUCAGUGAGUGAGACAGUGGACAGCGGCAGUCUUGACCACAAGUCUACAUGGAGCUGAAAUAUGAUCCUGCUUCCUCAUUUGGACUCAUUCACCUCAGCUGACACGUUCAACAGUAGACAGGUUUUUGUAGCAGUCUGUCUCACUGUGGGAGGAAACGGCUACCUAUUCUUUGUCUCUGGAACUAAACUCUAUGUAACAGAUGAGCAGGUAGUGAAGCCCGUGGUGAGCGUGUACCCAGCAGCAUCCAGAGCCCACCUGGAGGGGAACAGCUCCCUGCUGUGUGUGGCCUCAGCCAUGUUUCCUCCUCUGGUCCAGUUCUCCUGGAAAAGACAGAAGAAGAACGGCGGAGAAGCGGAGGAGCUGCCCCCUGCUGAGGGAGAGCAGCUGGAGCUCAGAGAGGCGGGACGCACCAUUGCCAUCAGGAUGCUUGAUGGGAGCCAUUCUGACACAUAUAAAUACAGCUGCUGGGUGAAGCACGAGGGGGGCACAGUGGAGGCCCGAACACAACAAGAGCUUCCAGCUCCAGCAGCCUCCUGUCCUCCAGAGAGAGAGCCAGCAGACCUGCCAGCUCUGCAGCCAGCUGACUGUAAGAUCACCUGCUGCCUCUCUGCAUGGACAGCUCCAAUGUCCAAUGAGGCAGCUGGAACAAGUUUAGGCUCUUAAAGUUGCACUAAUUGAUCAAAUCUUCAUCCAACAAGCUCUGAUAAAGCCACUGUACACUAGCUGCUCAGCACCAAACAGCAGACAGACCAUAAUAUGUCAGAGAUCAGUUUGUUAGCUGCUUGUGGAGUUCUUCUGCCCCCAAGUGGACACAAACACUACAUCAAUUCAUCCACUUGAAGAAGAAGCUGUGACUGUUUCUAUUUGGACUUUUUCUCCUUGAUCUGAGAGGAAUAACCCGACUGUCUGUCUGUCUCUUUGUGUCUGUCUGUCCUUCAGUGUCCUUCCAGUCUCAGUGCAGGGUGAAGCUGCUCUGCCUGCUAUACACAGUGCUGAUAGUGAAGAGUCUGGUGUACUGCUGUGGACUCUCUCUGCUGAUGAUGCUCACAAACAAGGGAGCGUCCACCAACUGCACACAUGCUGACUGACUGUUUCCUGCUCGCCUUUUCUCACCAUCACAUCUCAUCAAUUCAUCUCAUUCAUCACUUUGAUCACAAAUGUUAGUUAUGAUGUGUUGAGCUUAUUUUGCCUUUUUCUUCAACAGUUAGAAGAUCGUCUGAAAUAAAUACAUCUUUACAUGUAUUGUUGCUCUGAGUUAGAAUUCUUUUUGUGCUUAUUGUGACUUUUAUUGUAGUAACAAAAACCAUCAGGAAUAUUUUUAUCACAAGUUUUUGUUUGAUUUUCAAAUGUCAAACAGUGUAGUUGUGUUUGUGUGAACAAUAAAGAUUUGAAGAUGAAGAG
ensembl:lncRNA